AUCAAGACCUGCAGUGUAAAUGCAGCCUAAGACUCAUGCAUUUGCACAUUUGUUUCAUUUAAUGCACUAAAAAUUAAUGUACAGUAUCACAAUUUCAUAACGAGAAGGAUAAUAGACAUGCGUGACAAGAAGUCCAACUGGUGUACACAUGUCCUUUAUGUGGCUUCAAGCAACCUUUUUCAAAGAAAAAUCUUUUUGGUCAUUUAAGAGGGCAUUUGAGUUCUUUGAGCUGCUAAGGCUCUUAUUUCGAAACAACCCUGCCUCAAAGUACCAGCACAUCAGUGUGAGUGGAAUGGCUGGAAGACAAGUUUAAAGUUUAAGAUGUGCAACUAUUGCACAAAACUCAGCAGAUCUGGUAGUGAAGAGGUGGCUGUAAACUCAGGGAAGAGAAGCCAAAGUAACCCAGAGGCUGCCGCACUGUCAAGGCAGCAGAAGCACUGAGAAACAUCUUUAGUGCCUAUGAUCUUCUGGUAAAUUUUAUGUUAACUAUAUUUAUAGUAUAAGUUAAUUGUUUAAUUUGCUCAAGUUUUACUUCAUGAACAGAAGCUGCUAUAUGUUAAUUGUUUAAAAAAUUAUUUGAAUUGUCUCUGUUUAAAUUUCUUUCCCUCUGUCAUCUGUCCUUUAUCUCUAUUUUUUCCUUUUCUCUUGCAUCACUAACACAGUUCUGUCUUUUUUCAGGGGACCUAUUAGCAACAGACGUACAGCUGCACUUCAAGCCCUCCCUGUCUACUUGCGCGAAGAUGACUGUGUUUUUCAAGAUGUGAAAUGUAGGUUUUAUACCUAUUUAAAUUUUAAUAUUAUUUAUCUGCUUAUGCUCAUGGAGUUCUCUCAUGCUUUUCAGACUGAAGAGGUGGAUGAGACAGACAUUGCAGAUUCAGCCGUAGCUCAUACCAGCAUGGUGAAUGGAGACUCGAGUUCCACUGUUCAGUUUGACCCUGCUGGGAUUGCUAUUGUGCUGGAAGGUGACAUUGUUCUAAGGGACAUUUCCAGCUCAUUAUCAGCCGUCUGUCUGUUUGAUGUGGUUAGCCGCGGGAGCAGCAUUUGAAGUCUGUGUGGCCCGUCUAUCAUGAACAUGCUAAUCCAGUGGAAAACCAAGCUCCAGACACCUGUUCCACACAACAUCUGUCCCUGGCACAGCUCUCUUCCCGUGCCCUUCACACAUAGAUCCACAAACUUGGAAGGACACCACGUGAAGUGUUUGGUUUAGCAGUGACACUGUGCAGCGAUUUUGGAGGGGCAGGUGUCUUCUCAUUCAGAAAUACAGCUGAAUGGAUUUACACAGCCGAAUUAAUCUUGAGUCAUUCACUGAAAUAUUGCUACUGUACCUCCAAUUGAUGUUUAUAGAAAGACUGCCAUAAUACCAAAAACAAAUACCACCUUUCUAUGAAUUUAGACUACUAGUGUAACAAAGUAAUAAUUGUUAUCAUUAUUGCUCAGACUUGGGGUUAAGGGUUUUUCAGAACCUGUAAACGCCUUCAUUGUGUAACUUAGUUUGUGCAGACGUGUAUGAUACUCUAAAUGGUACCACUUUUUGAGAAAAAGUGUGCUAUUAGUUAUUAUAUUCUGUAGUAGACAUAAACCAAUCAGCAGAUGAGAUAGUUUCUAAUCAUCCAGACCACUAGAGGGCAGUUUACACUACAGAGAUCAAGCAGAAGGAAGCCCUCACACUUUUUUCUUAGUUUAUAAUUGCAAAUUGUUUUGUAAUUAGCAACAUUGCUAGGGGCUUACCAUUUUAAACCCAUUUUUCGUUCUGAAUAUUCUAUUUGUGGAUCUUCUGAGCUGUUA
rnacentral:lncRNA from 1 species